AUGGACCCAGGGAGCGGGGCCGGCGGGAGAGGGCAGCGCCAGAUUCUUGUGCUGGGGCUCCGGGCCGUGAGUGGAGAAACUCAGUAUUUCGGCAGGGGCACCCGGCUGACGGUGCUAGAGAAUCUGGAAAAGGUCAAACCUCCCACGGUCACAGUGUUUGAACCAUCCGAAGCAGAGACCUCCCGAACCCAGAAGGCCACACUCGUGUGCCUGGCCACCGGCUUCUACCCCGACCACGUGGAGCUGAGCUGGUGGGUGAACGGGAAGGAGGUCCAGAAUGGGGUCAGCACGGACCCCCAGCCCUACAAGGAGCGGCUGGAUGAGAAUGACUCCAGCUACUGUCUGAGCAGCCGGCUGAGGGUGUCCUCUGCCUUCUGGCACAACCCUCGCAACCACUUUCGCUGCCAAGUCCAGUUCCACGGGCUCGGGGACAAUGACGAGUGGCAGAACAGCCAACGGGCCAAACCCGUCACCCAGAACAUCAGUGCCGAGGCCUGGGGCAGAGCAGACUGUGGCUUCACUUCGGUGUCCUAUCAGCAGGGCAUCCUGUCUGCCACCAUCUUCUAUGCGAUCCUGCUGGGGAAGGCCACCCUGUACGCUAUGCUGGUCGGUGCCCUGGUGCUGAUGGCCAAGGUCAAGAGAAAGUGUUCCUGAGACCAGCUCAGAAAAUACACCCUGAAUCGCUCAUCCUCCUCUCCGAGAUCUCCCUAACGUGCUCCAGUCUGUGUUUCUAGAAGUUAUUCUCUCUCCACCUCUUAUCUCCUUCCUGCUGGGAGAUCUGUCCCUUCUCUCCGCUUUCCUGCAGACUGAGCUCCUCAACCCUGAAACGGAAACAGACUGAAACAAUAAAAGUGUCCUGCCAGGC